rnacentral:rRNA from 1 species
CCUACGGGAGGCAGCAGUGGGGAAUUUUCCGCAAUGGGCGAAGGCCUGACGGAGCAAUACCGCGUGAGGGAGGAAGGCUCUUGGGUUGUAAACCUCUUUUCUCAGGGAAGAAGUACUGACGGUACCUGAGGAAUAAGCAUCGGCUAACUCUGUGCCAGCAGCCGCGGUAAUACAGAGGAUGCAAGCGUUAUCCGGAAUGAUUGGGCGUAAAGCGUCCGCAGGUGGUUUUAUAUGUCUGCUGUUAAAUAGUUAGGCUUAACCUAAUAAAGGCGGUGGAAACUAUAAGACUAGAGUACGUUCGGGGUAGAGGGAAUUCCCAGUGUAGCGGUGAAAUGCGUAGAGAUUGGGAAGAACACCAGUGGCGAAGGCGCUCUGCUAGGACUGUACUGACACUGAGGGACGAAAGCUAGGGGAGCGAAUGGGAUUAGAUACCCCAGUAGUCCUAGCCGUAAACGAUGGAUACUAGGCGUUGUCUGUAUCGACCCGGACAGUGCCGUAGCUAACGCGUUAAGUAUCCCGCCUGGGGAGUACGCAGGCAACUGUGAAACUCAAAUGAAUUGACGG